rnacentral:lncRNA from 1 species
AUAGCUUAAGCGUUUGCCUUAUUUGAAAAGCCUAGGUUUCCAUUUCUUAACCUUGAGGGAUCUACAGGCUUAGGUUUUGCUUACCUUAUGUAGGCUGCCAGGGUAUUAGAACCACCUCAGUCUAAGGGCCUCCUUGUUUAAUUAACACCAAUGAGAAAAUAUACUUCAUCCCUCCCAAGACUUACCAAAGUUUCAGCUUAUUGUGGGAUUAAGCUCAGGCUUGAGGUCCAUAAUCUUGGUAUCCAAAUCAGCUCUAGGUAAGAAUGAAGCAAAUAUGGUUCCUUUCAGUCUGAAGACCUGUGAACUAAAGAGACAAGUUAGUUGUCCUCCAUACACUUAACAUAGAGUGGUAGGACACAGAAUAAUCACAAUAGGCAUUAUUGUUCAAUAUGGUGGAGGGGAGGUGGUGGGAAGGCAUUACAGGAGGCACAUAGCAGUCACUAGUUCCAAGCAAUUCUGAAAUCUAGCUGGGCACAUAUUGACAGCUCUAGCGAGUGUCCAAUUAUGCUCCCUGAGAGUGGGUUUCUGUGGCUUUGGGCUCCUUCCUCUGGACUCUUAGCUUUGUGCUCUGAGUCAUCUUUCCUUUUCUAUAAGAAGUGGCUCAUGCUUGCUGCUAAGUAGUUUCUCAUUCUUCUUUCUUCCAGGGAGGUUGAGAACACUGUCUGUCUCUCCAUUGAGGUUUUCUGUGUCAGAGACAACUCUCAGUGUUUCACCAGUGAAAAGGCCAGGUAUUCUCUGCUCACAACUGGAAUCAUUCUUUAUGACGUCCUAGGAGUUGUUCUUGGUAUACUAGGAAGUGCAUUCUGGUGGCUAGCAUGGCAGAAGGCGUGGAGAGAUCGGCAACAGCUCCAGUGGGCUGUAAAGCUAUAAAGGCCCU